GAUGAACGCUGGCGGCGUGCCUAAUACAUGCAAGUAGAACGCUGAAGGAAGGAGCUUGCUCUUUCCGGAUGAGUUGCGAACGGGUGAGUAACGCGUAGGUAACCUGCCUGGUAGCGGGGGAUAACUAUUGGAAACGAUAGCUAAUACCGCAUAACAGUAGAUGUUGCAUGAUAUCUACUUAAAAGGUGCAAUUGCACCACUACCAGAUGGACCUGCGUUGUAUUAGCUAGUUGGUGAGGUAACGGCUCACCAAGGCGACGAUACAUAGCCGACCUGAGAGGAUGAUCGGCCACACUGGGACUGAGACACGGCCCAGAGUCCUACGGGAGGCAGCAGUAGGGAAUCUUCGGCAAUGGACGGAAGUCUGACCGAGCAACGCCGCGUGAGUGAAGAAGGUUUUCGGAUCGUAAAGCUCGGUUGUAAGAGAAGAACGAGUGUGAGAGUGGAAAGUUCACACUGUGACGGUAUCUUACCAGAAAGGGACGGCUAACUACGUG
rnacentral:rRNA from 1 species